UUACUGAUGCAGCCCAGAUAACAGUAGUGACCAACCUCCUCUAUGCAGCGCAGCCCGGGCCAGAGAGUGAAGCUGCUACUGGAGGCUAUGCCUAUGGCUGCCUACCUCGUGGUACACAAAUGAGUUGUCGCGCAUGUCAUGAUAGAGCACAUGUCAUUUGCACAAGACAAAGAGAGAGCAACCGGCCUGAGACGACUGUCCUUUUGGAUAACUACUCAACGCUGCACAGCACAGCAUUCAAUCACUCUCAUAAUUUUAUUGUCAUUUCAUCUUUUAUGGGGGACGCCCCACUCUUAUUAUUUUUAUCACUGAAUGGCUGCUGACGUACGUAUAUAUAAGAGCACUACAAGAUACGACAGGAAAGGGCAGUGUAUGUGAUUUUCUGACAGGGAAGGCUACUCGGGAGUCGGCCACACAAGGUAUAGUCUAAUAAUUAUUGUACAGUACUUCGAUGAUCUUCUCUGUUUUGGGUCAGAUGCAAUUGCCUAUAGCCAGUUAAAACAUUUCUUCUACUCUUGGCUUAAGAAAUUGUAUUUUAUUAUUGUACCAGCAUUAGGUAGUUAACGCAUUGACCUCUACUACCGUGUAGCAGGAAAGUUCGUUAUUUGAGAAAUGUUGUAUAGUUGUUCACAUUUCAAUGCCAAGAAACCAUAGCUUUGCAUGGUGUGUCUUCCAUUUAUUAUUACAUGAAGUGUGAAGUGUGUUGUAAGUUUGUACAGAGAGGACUCCCAUGGUGGCAAUGAUCUGAUGAUGGCUCCACUGCUCUGAUGGACCAAUGCAGGAGAAGUUAUUCUGUAUAAUUAUUACACUAAAUUAAUGUAUGCCACUGUUUGGAUCGGUUUCUGUUCUGCUCAGCUUCUUCCUCCAACUUGCUUACGCAGGCUAAGCUUAUUCUUAGUUCAUUCUAUAGUCUAGUAUUAUUGUCGGUUUGGUUGUUUUAUGUUUUUCACCUGGUCAUACGGAAUCACUUCAUUAAUUUGUGCAGACCACACCUCUAUCCACACAUUGUACCUGCACAUCCUGUAUAUAUGGGGCCACACCCCCACUCACUGUACUGAUAUGUGGUCACACCCCCAUACAUGGUAACCCUCUUGACCACACCUCCACCCAUGCAUUGUGUCGUACAUGCUGUGUUUUUGUGUACAGUACACACAUCAUCCGUGUCUUUAUCCCCACACCUAGUCGGAGGGAGCAGCAAGUUCUACUAAGAGCCAGCAUCACCAACUAACCAACACACUACAAGACCUACCUACUACCAGCUAGGACAGCACACCACCCGGGACUUAAUACGCCUUUGUAUUACGAUCAUGAUACAAUUUGCUGCCCUCCCUCGCCCAUGGAUUGAAUGAUUAUGGACACUCGCAGGACAACUAAGAGACUGACACACAAUAAUAGACACCAAAGGCAGUGUAUAUGAUUUUCUGACAGGAAAGGCUACUCUAAACAGAGGGAGUCGGCCACACAAGGUAUAGUCUAAUAAUUAUUGUACGGUACUCUCUGUUUUGGGUCAGAUGCAAUUGACUAGCCAGUUUAAAACAUUUCUUCUACUCUUGGCUUAAGAAGUUGUAUUUUAUUAUUGUACCAGUAUUAGGUAGUUAACUCCACUUAUGCAUUGACCUCUACUACUGUGUAGCGUGAAAGUUCGUUAUUUGAGCCCUCGAGAAAUGUUGUAUAGUUGUGUUCACAUUUCAAUGCCAGGAAACCAUAGCUUUGCAUGGUGCGUGGGAGUUUCUUCCAUUUGUAUUACAUGAAGUGUGAAGUGUGUUGUAAGUUUGUAUAGAGAGGACUCCCAUGGUGGCAAUGAUCUGAUGAUGGUUCCACUGCUCUGAUGGACCAAUGCAGGAGAAGUUAUUCUGUAUAAUUAUUACACUAAAUUAAUGUAUGCCACUGUUUGGAUCGGUUUCUGUUCUGCUUAGCUUCUUCCUCCAACUUGCUUACGCAGGCUAAGCUUAUUCUUAGUUCAUUCUUAGUUCAUUCUAUAGUCUAGUAUUAUUGUCGGUUUGGUUGUUUUAUGUUUUUCACCUGGUCAUACGGAAUCACUUCAUUAAUUUUUAUACAGUGCAGACCAUACCUCUAUCCACACAUUGUACCUGCACAUCCUGUAUAUAUGGGGCCACACCCCCACUCACUGUACUGAUAUGUGGUCACACCCCCAUACAUGGUAACCCUCUUGACCACACCUCCACCCAUGCAUUGUGUCGUACAUGCUGUGUUUUUGUGUACUGUACAGUACACACAUCAUCCGUGUCUUUAUCCCCACACCUAGUCGGAGGGAGCAGCAAGUUCUACUAAGAGCCAGCAUCACCCACUAGCCAACACACUACAAGACCUACCUACUACCAGCUAGGACAGCACACCACCUGGGACAGACUCUACUAUACCAUGUGAUACAAUUUGCUGCCCUCCCUUGCCCAUGGAUUGAAUAAUUAUGGACACUCGCAGGACAACUAAGAGACUGACACACAAUAAUAGACACCAAAGGGCCAGUUACUGUAUCAUGUACGAAUAUUCUGUUGCUUGUACAUUUCGUAGCAUUAUCAGUAAUUGACUCUAGAGUAGCAUCUUGAGCUCCCCUUUCUUCAUCACUCAAUCUGCAGGCAGUGUAUGUGAUUUUCUGACAGGAAAGGCUACUCUAAACAGAGGGAGUCGGCCACACAAGGUAUAGUCUAAUAAUUAUUGUACGGUACCUUCUCUGUUUUGGGUCAGAUGCAAUUGCCUUCAAUCACUAGCCAGUUUAAAACAUUUCUUCUACUCUUGGCUUAAGAAAUUGUAUUUUAUUAUUGUACCAGCAUUAGGUAGUUAACUCCACUUAUGCAUUGACCUCUACUACUGUGUAGCAGGAAAGUUUAUUAUUUGAGCCCUCGAGAAAUGUUGUAUAGUUGUUCACAUUUCAAUGCCAGGAAACCAUAGCUUUGCAUGGUGCGUGGGAGUGUCUUCCAUUUUUAUUACAUGAAGUGUGAAGUGUGUUGUAAGUUGUACAGAGAGGACUCAUUGUACAGAGAGGACUCCCAUGGUGGCAAUGAUCUGAUGAUGGCUCCACUGCUCUGAUGGACCAAUGCAGGAGAAGUUAUUCUGUAUAAUUAUUACACUAAAUUAAUGUAUGCCACUGUUUGGAUCGGUUUCUGUUCUGCUCAGCUUCUUCCUCCAACUUGCUUACGCAGGCUAAGCUUAUUCUUAGUUCAUUCUUAGUUCAUUCUAUAGUCUAGUAUAUUGUCGGUUUGGUUGUUUUAUGUUUUUCACCUGGUCAUACGGAAUCACUUCAUUAUUAUCAGUGCAGACCACACCUCUAUCCACACAUUGUACCUGCACAUCCUGUAUAUAUGGGGCCACACCCCCACUCACUGUACUGAUAUGUGGUCACACCCCCAUACAUGGUAACCCUCUUGACCACACCUCCACCCAUGUAUUGUGUCGUACAUACUGUGUUUUUGUGUACAGUACACACAUCAUCCGUGUCUUUGUCCCCACACCUAGUCGGAGGGAGCAGCAAGUUCUACUAAGAGCCAGCAUCACCAACUAACCAACACACUACAAGACCUACCUACUACCAGCUAGGACAGCACACCACCCGGGACAGACUCUACUACAUGAUACAAUUUACACAAUUUUUAUUUCAAUUUUUACAAUUUAUACAUGAUACAAUUUGCUGCCCUCCCUUGCCCAUGGAUUGAAUAAUUAUGGACACUCGCAGGACAACUAAGAGACUGACACACAAUAAUACUGUAUUUUUGCCAUUAUUAUGAUAAAAAUAAUGUAUUAAUUUUUUGCCAUUAAUUUUAUAUAAAAUUAA